AUCAGCUCCAUUUGCUGUUCGACACGCACUACGAGCAGCAGAACGAGCUCGUGGACGCCAUUGCGGAGCGCAUCCAGCUGCUCGGAGGCGUAAGCGUCGCCAUGGCCCACGACGUGGCCGAAACAACGUUGAUUCCCCGGCCGCCGAAGGGUCGCGAAGCGGUGCCCGUGCAGAUCUCACGACUGCUGCACGCACACGAGAUUGUCCUCAAGGAGGCACGAACGAUGGCCCGGCAGGCCGCUGAUGCGGGCGACGACGGGACCAACGAUCUCAUCGUCAGCGACGUGAUUCGCACGAACGAACUGGAGGUGUGGUUCGUGGCCGAGCACGUCGUGGAUGUUCCACUCGUGCACG
rnacentral:misc_RNA from 1 species